ensembl:lncRNA
CCAGUGGCUAACAAAGGGAUAGGAACGCAGAGCCAGACCAGAUGCCCUGACAUCCCAGGUAGAAGAGCUCAAGGUGCGGGCCAUCUAAGGAGAAAGCGAAAUUUUCCCACGUGGCUUCAGGCUGCUAGCACCGCCUGUUCCCAGCAACUCUCUGGAUCAGCCCUGACACAGGAAGAUUCCGUACAGCGAGUCGAUGACCGGGGGAAAAGCCCCCAUUAUCCCUAAAACUAGAGCACAUCACUUCCCAGCCUCUGCGGAACACUGAGCUGGAGAGAGGCAACCAAUGAGCAACGGCCGAAAGCAUUACCUCAUCAAACCCCCGACUGUUUUAAACUCAACCCAGACUGCAGCCAGCAUUCAAACCUGUUGGAAUCUGUGGAAAAAUUCUUCAAACUGAAAUUCUACAACACAGCAACUUAAUGACAUCAAACAGGACUAAAGACCAACAUCUUCUGAAGAGAACAGAUUCUGAUUUGAUCAAUUAGGUCAUGUAGGCUGUGAGAAGGAAACAAAAAGACCCUGAAAAUGGUAACUCACGUUGAUGGUCAGAUCCCAGGUGUCUGUAAAACCCUUUAUCUGUGGCAUCUCCACUCAGCCAGCUGAUGAUGAUUUUCGAACCUGAUGGUGGUGUUGUGAAGAAGUUUCUCUCCUGGGAAGAGUGUCAAGUGCUGUUUAUUCAAGCCACCAGAAAUGCACUCUGAGAGACAGCUCCCUGUUCCCUUGUGCAAGUUUCCUUAAUAAUUUUUACCACUUGUACCUGCUGUAUGGCAGGGACUUCCCAGACUUCGGAAGUUCCCAAACUUUUUUUAUUCACAGAACCCAUAGGGUUUCAGUAAUUUUCCACUAUGUCCUGGGCCAAAAGAAAUCCCUAACAGCUCCAUUAAUUAAACAACUAGAUCCAAAUAACAUAAGAAC